rnacentral:rRNA from 1 species
UACGUAGGGUGCGAGCGUUGUCCGGAAUUAUUGGGCGUAAAGAGCUUGUAGGUGGUUUGUCGCGUCUGCUGUGAAAAUCCGAGGCUCAACCUCGGACUUGCAGUGGGUACGGGCAGACUAGAGUGUGGUAGGGGAGACUGGAAUUCCUGGUGUAGCGGUGAAAUGCGUAGAUAUCAGUCGGAACACCGGUGGCGGAAGGCGGCUUCGUUGGGCCGUUCCUGACGCUGAGGCGGCGAAAGCUGGGGGAGCGA